AACCAGGCCCCUUUGGGCCAGAAGCAGAGGGACAGAACAGGAAGUAUAAGAAGCGGGGCCUCCAGUUCAGCUGAGGGAGAGCCAGGGAAGGAGUAAGAUGCUGCUGGCCCCUGGACAAAGCUGUACCAACCCCUACCUCUAGAGGAAUACCUGGAGGAGCUGCUGGAACUACCGGCUACCGAGAACCCUGAAGAGCCUGAGGGCCUGUGAGCCUACAAACAGGUUUGUGGAAACUUAUUAAGCAUAUUCUACUGGGUAAAACAGAACAAAAAUCAAAGAAUACUUAAAGAUAGAGGAGAAACAAGAUCAGAGCCCUACCACCCACAAUGAUAAUCAAGCCAGUAGCAUCUCAUCUACCUGCCAAGGACUACAUGUGUGUAUAUACCCAAGGAUCUCAGAGUCACUCUGGAGUCCUUCAAUGUGUGAAGGAACUCAUCUAUUUUGGCUGCAAACAGCUUGGAGCCUUCAAAUGGGAGAUCAUCAACAGUUAAUUCUAUCUCUUUGGGAAAACCUGAGAGGUGGAGCUAGGAAGCUUGUUGCUUUACUAAGGCCAUGACGAUGGAGUGUGCCGUCUUGUCUGCAGAGUCCAGUGAAACUUGUAAAUCU